AGUGAACGCUGGCGGUAGGCCUAACACAUGCAAGUCGAACGGCAGCACAGUAAGCGCUUGCUCUUACGGGUGGCGAGUGACGGACGGGUGAGGAGUACAUCGGCUUCUACUUUUUCGUGGGGGAUUACGUAGGGCAACUUACGCUAAUACCUCAUACGACCUACGGGUGAAAGCAGGGGAUAUUCGGACCUUGCGCGAUUGUAUGAGCCGGUUCCGGAUUAGCUAGUUGGCGGGGUAAAGGCCCACCAAGGCGAGGCUCCGUAGCUGGUCUGAGAGGAUAAUAGGCCACACUGGAACUGAGACCCGGGCCAGAACACUAGGGGAGGAAGAAGUAGGGAAGCUUGCGGAAUGGGCGAAGGCCUGACGGAGAAACGCCGAGUGAGAGAUGAAGGUCUUCGGAUCGUAAAACUCUGUUAUUAGGGAAGAACAAAUGUAUAAGUAACUAUGCACGUCUUGACGGUACCUAAUCAGAAAGCGACGGCUAACUACGUG
rnacentral:rRNA from 1 species